rnacentral:rRNA from 1 species
AUAUUGCACUAUGGGCGCAAGCCUGAUGCAGCGACGCCGCGUGGGGGAUGACGGCCUUCGGGCUGUAAACUCCUUUCAACCAUGACGAAGCUUUCGGGUGACGGUAGGGGUAGAAGAAGCACCGGCUAACUACGUGCCAGCAGCUGCGGUAAUACGUAGGGUGCGAGCGUUGUCCGGAAUUACUGGGCGUAAAGAGCUCGUAGGUGGUUUGUCGCGUCGUCUGUGAAAUUCCGGGGCUUAACUCCGGGCGUGCAGGCGAUACGGGCAUAACUUGAGUGCUGUAGGGGAGACUGGAAUUCCUGGUGUAGCGGUGAAAGGCGCAGAUAUCAGGAGGAACACCGAUGGCGAAGGCAGGUCUCUGGGCAGUAACUGACGCUGAGGAGCGAAAGCAUGGGUAGCGAACAGG